rnacentral:sRNA from 1 species
AAAAAAAAAAUGGUUUUCACUAAAAUAAAAUAAAAUUAUUAUUUCUCGUUUCUAACAUCUUAUAAUUAUGAACAAAGAAUUCAAGUAUAUUUUAAAGUAUAAACCGAACAUACCAUCUUAUCUUAAUUUUUAGUUGAUUGUCAAAAACUUAAAAUUUAAACAUCAAGGUAACAUGUCAAUCUGGUGAUAUAUUUGUAACAUUCGUAGAUUACAAUAUACAAGCACUGCCUUUGAAUCUGAUUAAAUAAAUGUCAAAUGUAUAUACAUCAAGUGUUCCUUCCAUCUGCAGAAACCACCUCGAUACUUCUUGCCAUACCUUUUUUCCUUCUUUCUUUUAUCAUAUAAGUUUCUGAAUAUAUCUUAUUCCACUAGCUAGCUUCAACAUUAUGGUUUUGAUUUUGAAUAAUUCACGCCACACACAACAAAAAGGUAAAAAAGAAGAGAGUUUAUGUAUUAGUGCUACUUGUAAUUUCAAAUUUUACAAAAUUGCGAUGAGGGAUAUAAGUUUCUAGAGAAAAUAAUAUAUAUUUGGACAGCAAAAGUAAGUUGGAAAAAUUCGGUUACUUCGUAAUUUGUUAAGAAAUAAAAAUUGACGGUCAAGAAAAGGAGAGUGUGGGGAUGAAUAAAAACGGUAAGCUUAUAUCAUUCAACUGGGGGAGGUAGCUUCGUUAAAAGAAUCCAUCUUUUUAUUUAUUUUCAUCAAACCAUCCUUUAUUGAUUUAUUUGUUUAUUACAAAAACAACCGAAAAAACGACCCCACGAGAAAUUAAGGAGAUGGAGCCUCGUGAGGAGUUUGGUAUAGCUCUGAAGUCUAAAGAAACCCUCCUUAGAUAUCAACUCCCCAACACUCUCUCCCUACAACACACACACACACACACACACACACAGAUUCCAAACCCUCUUUAGCAUUUACGUGGCGACUCGUUUACGUGUGUCCAGUCCUCACACAUUUUCAUGCUUUUUAUUCAACCUACUAACUUCCACCUUUCCCGUUUUUUGUUUCUUUUCUUUCACUUUUUCGUUAAUUUAGAUUCUUUAUUAAUUAAUAAACUGUUCUCUAAUAUCAUUUAUAAGUCCGUUUUACGUUAAAGUGGCUAUCCCUUGAUGGUUAACAAUUAAAUGAUCAUUUUUGGGUUUAGGGGAAAAUUUUUUUAAAAAAUCUAUUGGUUUGGUUAUCAUAAACGGUUUUAAUGACAGAAAUACACAAGAAUUCAUAAUCUAGUUUUUAAACACUCUUUCAAAUUUAAACUGCAAUAUAUAGAUAUUAUAACAUUCAUACUGCUGUAACUCUCAAACAAACAGAUCAUUAAUGUCUUCCACUAAGAACUUUUUGUAAUUUGUGACAUCUGCAUAUUCUCGAACAAAUACAUGGUUGCAUAAGGAAUCGGUCACUCAUGUCUUCAUAAUCCAGUACUGAAAUAUUCCGCAUUGGCUUAAUAUUUGAAAAAGAACUAUAUCUUAUCAUACUUCCACCGAACUUUUUUUUAAAAAAUAACAAAAAAUACAGAGAUGAUGCUUGCACUUAUCUAAAUCUACGUGUUAUGGAACACCACAUUUUAAUAAAUAACUUACUUAAAUUUAUAUUAAAACCGUUUACAUCUGAUAUAAUUUAAAAGGUUUUAGACGAAUUAGUAUUAGUGAACCAUUAUCAAGAUGUAUUUAUUACAAAAUCUAUAAUAAUAAAAACAAAACUGGGAAAGCAAUGGGAAGAAGAUCUGAUUGGCUUUGGAAGACUUCGCGUGUUAAUAAGAUUUUUCUCAAAAAAGAAAGAUCGGACGGCAAUGCGUGGCAAGUCGCUUAUGACGUCGGAAGCUUAGCUUGCCACGUGUACGGUCAUCACCAUUUAGGUGACCGAUAUAAUGUAUUUCCCGUGACUUGACAAUCUAAUCUCCCAAUUUAUCGUGCUCCAGUGUCUCAAGAGAGAACUUACUCUAUUGGUUACCCAAAACUCACAUAAAACGUGGAUUUUAUAUUUUUUUUUAUCAAAUAAUUUGAUGUGCAAUAUAAACAUAUAUGUAUUAUUAUCUUGCAUGUUUAAAAAAUGCUAACUUAAAUUUUUCUUCAAUGAUUGAGAUUUUUCAUACACAUCCAUCGAGUUCACACUUAUGAUUAAACAAAGUGUAUUGUUACACUAAUAACGGUUCUAAGUUGUUUCAAUACGUUUAUGAUAACG